AUUGAACGCUGGCGGCAUGCCUAACACAUGCAAGUCGAACGGGGCAGCAAUGCCUAGUGGCGGACGGGUGAGGAAUACGUAGGAAUCUGCCCUUAAGUGGGGGAUAACCAGGGGAAACCCUGACUAAUACCGCAUGAUCUCUUCGGAGCAAAGGGGGGGACCGCAAGGCCUCUCGCUUCUGGAUGAGCCUACGUCUGAUUAGCUAGUUGGUAGGGUAAAGGCCCACCAAGGCGACGAUCAGUAACUGGUCUGAGAGGAAGAUCAGUCACACCGGAAAGAGGAACCGGGCCGGACGCCUACGGGAGGCAAGAGUGGGGAAUAUUGGACCAAGGGCGCGAGCCUGAUCCAGGAAUGCCGCGUGUGGGAAGAAGGCCUUCGGGUUGUAAAGCACUUUAGCCUGGAAAGAAAAAACUUUGGUUAACACCCAAAGUCUUGACGGUACCAGGAGAAUAAGCACCGGCUAACUCUGUGCCAGCCGCCGCCGUAAAAC
rnacentral:rRNA from 1 species